rnacentral:rRNA from 1 species
GAUGAACGCUAGCGGAACGCCUAACACAUGCAAGUCGAACGAAUUCUGCGUUGUAGCAAUACAUAGUAGAAUUAGUGGCAAACGAGCGAGUAACGCGUACCUAACUUGCCCUAGAGAUGAGAAUAACUACAGAGAUGUAGCUAAUCCUCAAUAUGCUCACGAUGGUGAAAUUCCGACGUGAGGAAAGAUUUAUCGCUCUGGGAGAGGGGUGCGUCCUAUCAGGUAGUUGGUUGAGGUAAUGGCUCACCAAGCCUAUGACGGGUAGCCGGUCUGAGAUGAUGUCCGGCCGCGAUGGGACUGAGAUACGGCCCAUACUCCUACGGGAGGCAGCAGUGGGGAAUCUUGCACAAUGGACGAAAGUCUGAUGCAGCGACCCCGCGUGAAGGAUGAAGCAUUACGGUGUGUAAACUUCUUUUUUGGUGGAAGACGAAUGACGGUACACCAAGAAUAAGAGACGGCUAACUACGUGCCAGCAGCCGCGGUAAUACGUAGGUCUCAAGCGUUAUCCGGAUUUUACUGGGCGUAAAGUAUCCCGUAGUCUGAUCUGUAAGUCUGUUUUCAAAUCCCACUGCUCAACAGUGGAAAGGGAAAUGGAUACUGCANAUCUGGAACUAAUGAGGGGUUAGUGGAAUUUCCCGGUGGAGCGGUGAAAUGCGUUGAUAUCGGAAAGAACGCCGAAAGCGAAAGCAGCUAACUAUCAUAUGUUGACGAUGAGGGAUGAAAGUUUGGGUAGCAAACGGGAUUAGAUACCCCGGUAGUCCAAACCGUAAAUUAUGCUUGCUAGGUGUUUUGACCCUUGUGGUUGGAGUGCCGUAAUCUAACGAGUUAAGCAAGUCGCCUGGGUAGUAUAUUCGCAAGAAUGAAACUCAAAGG